rnacentral:rRNA from 1 species
ACCCAGGAGUGUGUCCGUCCAUACAAAUAAAUACACGGGCAUGCUGACCAGGAAAGUUCACAGUCCACCGGAGCUCCCGUACCUACCACCACUCCCACUCCGGGCGAGAAGAGAACAGUGAGCCAUGGACACGGCCACCUUGCUCCCGGUGGCGCUGGCCCUCCUGGCCAUCCCCGUCACGGCGCUCGUCCUCAACCGGCUCCGCUUCGGCAGGCUGCCGCCGGGGCCGCGCCCGUGGCCGGUGCUGGGCAACCUCUUCCAAAUCCAGCCCGUGCGCUGCCGGUGCUUCGCCGAGUGGGCGGCCCGGUACGGGCCCAUCAUCACGGUCUGGUUCGGCUCGACGCCGAUGGUGGUGGUGUCCACGCCGGAGCUGGCGCAGGAGGUGCUCAGGACCCACGACCAGCACCUGGCCGACCGCUCGCGGAACCGCUCCUCGGAGCGCUUCAGCCGCGGCGGCAUGGACCUCAUCUGGGCCGACUACGGCCCGCACUACAUCAAGGUGCGCAAGCUCUGCAACCUCGAGCUCUUCACGCCGCGCCGCCUCGAGGUGCUCCGCCCCGUCCGCGAGGACGAGGUCACCGCCAUGGUCGAGUCCGUGCACCGGGCCGGCAAGGAAGGGAAGCCGGUGGCCGUGCGGGAGUUCCUCGCCAUGGUGGGCUUCAACAACAUCACGCGCCUCGCCUUCGGGAAGCGGUUCCUGACCGCGGCGGGCGAGCUGGACGAGCAGGGACGCGAGUUCAAGGAGAUCGUCAACAACGGGAUCAAGAUCGGCGCGUCGCUGUCCAUCGCCGAGCACAUCCGGUGGCUCCGCUGGCUGACGCCCGUCGACGAGGUGGCCUAUCAGGCCCACGGCGACCGGCGCGACCGGCUCACUGUCAAGAUCAUGGAGGAGCACGCCAGGGCCCUCCAGCGGAGCGGCGCCAGCAAGCAGCAUUUCGUCGACGCGCUCUUCACGCUCCGGGACAAGUACGACCUCAGUGACGACACCGUCAUUGGCCUCCUCUGGGACAUGAUCACCGCCGGCACAGACACGACGGUGAUAACCGUGGAGUGGGCGGUAGCGGAGCUGGUGAGGAACCCGGUGGUGCAGCAGAAGGUGCAGGAGGAGCUCGACCGGGUGGUCGGCUGCGACCGGGUGCUGUCGGAGACGGACUUCCCAAACCUGCCCUACCUGCAGGCCGUCGUGAAGGAGUCGCUCCGGCUGCACCCGGCGACGCCGCUGAUGCUCCCGCACAGGGCCAGCGCCGCCGUGAAUGUCGCCGGCUACAACAUCCCCAAGGGAGCCAGCGUCACGGUGAACGUGUGGGCGAUCGCGCGCGACCCCAAGGCGUGGGACAGCCCGCUCGAGUUCCGGCCCGAGCGCUUCCUCCACGACAACAUCGACAUCAAGGGCUGCGACUACCGCGUGCUGCCGUUCGGCGCCGGCCGCCGGGUGUGCCCCGGCGCGCAGCUCGGGAUCAACCUCGUGGCGUCCAUGAUCGGCCACCUCCUGCACCACUUCACCUGGGCGCUGCCGGACGGGACCCGGACGGAGGACCUCGACAUGAUGGAGUCCCCCGGGCUCAUCACCUUCAUGCGCACGCCGCUGCAGGUCGUCGCCACGCCGCGCCUCGAAAAGGAAGAGCUGUACAAGCGGGUGGCCGCCGAGAUGUGAGCGACCUGCGCCCUCCCAUGCGUCCCGGACUCCCGGUGGUUCAGAGCUCAGGCUUCAAAUCAAGUAUUGACGUAUCUUUUUUCGAGUUCUUCGUAGCUACUACCUAUGCAUUUAUUUUGUUGUUAUAAUCCAUAAAUAUACUCGUGGUACAGCAUGAAUAUUUCUUUUUUACAAUAGAACUUGUGUUUCUCAAUCGUCAGGAUUACAAUCACGGAGAUACAAGUUCGUCCUCGGGACCAGAGCAUAGCCAAACAACACUACUAUUGCUGCGACUAGCGUAAGAGCAUCUCCAACAGGCAGGCUAGAUACAACGCGCGCGAGAAAAAAAGUUUUUAGCGCGCGCGGGCCGGUUUGGCGCCCUUCAGCAGGCGCAGAAAAAACUGCACGCGCGAAAAAGCGGCAACGUGCGUGGCGUCGGGUGCGCUCUAUAAAACCCUCGUGUGCGAGCCCGCCAUCCUCCGUCUCUCUCUCCUUUCUUCUCCUCGCUUCUGGUGCCCCGCCGCCGCUGCGACCUUGUUCCUCGCCUCCAGCGCCUCCCGCCGCCGCUGCGACCUUGUUCCUCGCCUCCAGCGCCCCCCCGCCUCCAGUGCCUUCUUCCCCGCCGCCGACAAGCCGCCGCGCGCCCGGAGCAGCUCCGGCUACCACGACGUCCGCACCCACCCCGCCAGCAUGUAUUACGCGGAGAUCCGCUCCGGUAAUACACGUCUCGGUCUCGAGACGUUCGAGACCGCCCACAAGGCCGCUCGCGCGUAUGACACGGCGGUGUGGCGCCUCUUGAGGCCACGUUCGCAGAUGAAUUUCUCGGACGCGCAGACGAGCCAACAGGCGCAGGACCUCGUGCCUCCGCCGCGACUAAUCACCGACGAGGACCGCUGCAUCUAGCGGAGGCGAGAGUGCCGCCUCCUCAUCGCCGAGGCGGACGAGCACGCCAUGGCGGAGUGGCGCGAGCGCUUCCCGGAGAAUGUUGCCGCAGAGGAGGGCGCAGCGAGCCGCGGAUCGGGCGGACAGGCGUGCGCGGAAGGCGCUGGCGAUAGCGCAAUGCGAACUGGGAUCUGCGUCGACCUUUGACGACAAUGAUCCUUGGUGGGAAGACCGUUUCUGUUGUCGGACUACACCACCGAGGAGGACAACAACAAGGAGUAGUUAUCUAGUAUAUUUGCAUCACAGUAUCGUUUUUAUCUGUCUUUAUUUGUAUCGUAUGGACUAUAUUCGUGGUGAUGGGUUUGAACUAUGCUAUUUGAACUUUAUCUAUAUGUUGUUUCAUAUUGUUCGUAUGUGUUGCACCAUAGUACCGGUUGCUCGCGCGUGCGGGAUUUUGCAGCGCCUGUGAUACGUCUCCAAUGUAUCUAUAAUUUAUAAAGUAUUCAUGCCAUGUUUACAAUAAUUUUAUAUGGUUUUGGUAUGAUUUGCAUGGAACUAACCCAGACUGACGCUGUUUUCAGCAGAACUACGGUGGUGUUGUUCUUUGUGCAGAAAUGAAAGUUCUCCAAAUGAGCUGAAACUUUUUGACGAUCUUUUUUGGAACAAAAGAGACCCCCGAAGCUUCGUGGAAGGACCAGAAGGUGAAGGAGUAGGGCACAAGACACCGGGGCGCGCCAGGAGGCCCAAGCGCGCCCCCGUGGGUUGUGCUCACCUCGAGGCCAAUCUUUGCAUGAAACCGACGCCAAAAAAUCCUAUAAAUAGAGAAACCAUCAAAAAUGACCCUAGAUCAAAAGUUCCGCCGCCGCAAGCCUCUAUAGGCACGAAAAACCAAUCUAGACCCCAUUCCGGCACCCUGCCGGAGGGGAAAAUCAUUACCGCUGGCCAUCUUCAUCAUCCCAGCGGCCACCAUGAUGAGGAGGGAGUAGUCCACCCUCGGGGCUGAGGGUUUGUACCAAUAGCUAUGUGUUUAAUCUCUCUCUCUCUCCCUCUCUCUCUCGUGUUCUUGAGAUGUCACGAUCUUGAUGUAUCGCGGGUUUUGUUAAUAUAAUUGGAUCAUAUGGUGUUUCCCUCUC